rnacentral:rRNA from 1 species
ACGGGUGAGUAACGCGUGGGAAUCUACCCAUCUCUACGGAAUAACGCAUGGAAACGUGUGCUAAUACCGUAUACGUCCUUCGGGAGAAAGAUUUAUCGGAGAUGGAUGAGCCCGCGUUGGAUUAGCUAGUUGGUGGGGUAAAGGCCUACCAAGGCGACGAUCCAUAGCUGGUCUGAGAGGAUGAUCAGCCACACUGGGACUGAGACACGGCCCAGACUCCUAUGGGAGGCAGCAGUGGGGAAUAUUGGACAAUGGGCGCAAGCCUGAUCCAGCCAUGCCGCGUGAGUGAUGAAGGCCCUAGGGUUGUAAAGCUCUUUCACCGGUGAAGAUAAUGACGGUAACCGGAGAAGAAGCCCCGGCUAACUUCGUGCCAGCAGCCGCGGUAAUACGAAGGGGGCUAGCGUUGUUCGGAUUUACUGGACGUAAAGCGCACGUAGGCGGACUAUUAAGUCAGGGGUGAAAUCCCGGGGCUCAACCCCGGAACUGCCUUUGAUACUGGUAGUCUUGAGUUCGAGAGAGGUGAGUGGAAUUCCGAGUGUAGAGGUGAAAUUCGUAGA